rnacentral:rRNA from 1 species
GGUUAAGCGACUAAGCGUACACGGUGGAUGCCCUGGCAGUCAGAGGCGAUGAAGGACGUGCUAAUCUGCGAAAAGCGUCGGUAAGGUGAUAUGAACCGUUAUAACCGGCGAUGUCCGAAUGGGGAAACCCAGUGCAAUUCGUUGCACUAUCGUUAACUGAAUACAUAGGUUAACGAGGCGAACCGGGGGAACUGAAACAUCUAAGUACCCCGAGGAAAAGAAAUCAACCGAGAUUCCCCCAGUAGCGGCGAGCGAACGGGGAGCAGCCCAGAGUCUGAAUCAGCUUGUGUGUUAGUGGAACGGUCUGGAAAGUCCGACGGUACAGGGUGAUAGUCCCGUACACCAAAAUGCACAGGCUGUGAACUCGAAGAGUAGGGCGGGACACGUGGUAUCCUGUCUGAAUAUGGGGGGACCAUCCUCCAAGGCUAAAUACUCCUGACUGACCGAUAGUGAACCAGUACCGUGAGGGAAAGGCGAAAAGAACCCCGGCGAGGGGAGUGAAAAAGAACCUGAAACCGUGUACGUACAAGCAGUGGGAGCACCUUCGGGUGUGACUGCGUACCUUUUGUAUAAUGGGUCAGCGACUUAUAUUCUGUAGCAAGGUUAACCGUAUAGGGGAGCCGCAGGGAAACCGAGUCUUAACUGGGCGUUAAGUUGCAGGGUAUAGACCCGAAACCCGGUGAUCUAGCCAUGGGCAGGUUGAAGGUUGGGUAACACUAACUGGAGGACCGAACCGACUAAUGUUGAAAAAUUAGCGGAUGACUUGUGGCUGGGGGUGAAAGGCCAAUCAAACCGGGAGAUAGCUGGUUCUCCCCGAAAGCUAUUUAGGUAGCGCCUCGUGAACUCAUCUUCGGGGGUAGAGCACUGUUUCGGCUAGGGGGUCAUCCCGACUUACCAACCCGAUGCAAACUACGAAUACCGAAGAAUGUUAUCACGGGAGACACACGGCGGGUGCUAACGUCCGUCGUGAAGAGGGAAACAACCCAGACCGCCAGCUAAGGUCCCAAAGUCAUGGUUAAGUGGGAAACGAUGUGGGAAGGCACAGACAGCCAGGAUGUUGGCUUAGAAGCAGCCAUCAUUUAAAGAAAGCGUAAUAGCUCACUGGUCGAGUCGGCCUGCGCGGAAGAUGUAACGGGGCUAAACCAUGCACCGAAGCUGCGGCAGCGACACUAUGUGUUGUUGGGUAGGGGAGCGUUCUGUAAGCCUGCGAAGGUGACCUGUGAGGGUUGCUGGAGGUAUCAGAAGUGCGAAUGCUGACAUAAGUAACGAUAAAGCGGGUGAAAAGCCCGCUCGCCGGAAGACCAAGGGUUCCUGUCCAACGUUAAUCGGGGCAGGGUGAGUCGACCCCUAAGGCGAGGCCGAAAGGCGUAGUCGAUGGGAAACAGGUUAAUAUUCCUGUACUUGGUGUUACUGCGAAGGGGGGACGGAGAAGGCUAUGUUAGCCGGGCGACGGUUGUCCCGGUUUAAGCAUGUAGGCUGGUUAUCCAGGCAAAUCCGGAUAAUCAAGGCUGAGGUGUGAUGACGAGGCACUACGGUGCUGAAGUAACAAAUGCCCUGCUUCCAGGAAAAGCCUCUAAGCAUCAGGUAACAUUGAAUCGUACCCCAAACCGACACAGGUGGUCAGGUAGAGAAUACCAAGGCGCUUGAGAGAACUCGGGUGAAGGAACUAGGCAAAAUGGUGCCGUAACUUCGGGAGAAGGCACGCUGGUGUGUAGGUGAAGCCCCUGCGGGUGGAGCUGAGACCAGUCGAAGAUACCAGCUGGCUGCAACUGUUUAUUAAAAACACAGCACUGUGCAAACACGAAAGUGGACGUAUACGGUGUGACGCCUGCCCGGUGCCGGAAGGUUAAUUGAUGGGGUUAUCCGUAAGGAGAAGCUCUUGAUCGAAGCCCCGGUAAACGGCGGCCGUAACUAUAACGGUCCUAAGGUAGCGAAAUUCCUUGUCGGGUAAGUUCCGACCUGCACGAAUGGCGUAAUGAUGGCCAGGCUGUCUCCACCCGAGACUCAGUGAAAUUGAACUCGCUGUGAAGAUGCAGUGUACCCGCGGCAAGACGGAAAGACCCCGUGAACCUUUACUAUAGCUUGACACUGAACAUUGAGCCUUGAUGUGUAGGAUAGGUGGGAGGCUUUGAAGCGUGGACGCCAGUCUGCGUGGAGCCAACCUUGAAAUACCACCCUUUAAUGUUUGAUGUUCUAACGUUGGCCCCUGACCGGGGUUGCGGACAGUGUCUGGUGGGUAGUUUGACUGGGGCGGUCUCCUCCCAAAGCGUAACGGAGGAGCACGAAGGUUAGCUAAUCCUGGUCGGACAUCAGGAGGUUAGUGCAAUGGCAUAAGCUAGCUUGACUGCGAGCGUGACGGCGCGAGCAGGUGCGAAAGCAGGUCAUAGUGAUCCGGUGGUUCUGAAUGGAAGGGCCAUCGCUCAACGGAUAAAAGGUACUCCGGGGAUAACAGGCUGAUACCGCCCAAGAGUUCAUAUCGACGGCGGUGUUUGGCACCUCGAUGUCGGCUCAUCACAUCCUGGGGCUGAAGUAGGUCCCAAGGGUAUGGCUGUUCGCCAUUUAAAGUGGUACGCGAGCUGGGUUUAGAACGUCGUGAGACAGUUCGGUCCCUAUCUGCCGUGGGCGCUGGAGAAUUGAGGGGGGCUGCUCCUAGUACGAGAGGACCGGAGUGGACGCAUCACUGGUGUUCGGGUUGUCAUGCCAAUGGCACUGCCCGGUAGCUAAAUGCGGAAGAGAUAAGUGCUGAAAGCAUCUAAGCACGAAACUUGCCCCGAGAUGAGUUCUCCCUGAGACUUUAAGUCUCCUGAAGGAACGUUAAAGACGAUGACGUUGAUAGGCCGGGUGUGUAAGCGCAGCGAUGCGUUGAGCUAACCGGUACUAAUGAACCGUGAGGCUUAACCUU